GGUAUUUUGACUAUACAAAGGUAUUGAAAUAAGACUUUAAUUGAGUGCUAAGAGAAUGGAAUUUCAUAAAAUUUCUUUUUUAAUUUUAAAAAUUGAAAUUAAUUUUAUAUGUGAAGAAACAAUAAUAAAAAUUAAGGACAAGAAGACCCUAAGAAUUUUAAAGAUUUCAAUAAAAUUUUGUAUUUUAUUGAAAUCUUUUAAUUGGGGCGAUUAUUAAAUAUUAAAAACUUUAAUUUUUUUUUAAAAAAGAACCAAUAAUAUUGGUUAUUUGAAAAAAUACUCUAGGGAUAACAGCGUAAUAAUUUUUGAUAGUUCUUAUAGACAAAAUAGUUUGCGACCUCGAUGUUGGAUUAGGAUUCUUUUUUAAUGAAGAAGUUAAAAAAAGAAGUUUGUUCAACUUUUAAAAUCCU
rnacentral:rRNA from 1 species